GUGAAUUUGAGAUCAUAGAAAGUUGUUUAGAGUAGUAGUUGUUAUUACAGUGGGUAAAUGUGGCCUGUUUUUAACCUGAGACUUAUACUGAAACGUAAGAAGUUAAGAACCUUAGUUGUUUUUACUCCUUGUUAGAAGUCUUUAAAUGUGGUAGAAAUGGGUAAGAUUCUAGAAAAUGAAGAAGUUGAGCAUAUUACCGUUGAGUCACUAGUAGGGAAUGCACUGGAGUUAACUACUGUAAAAUAAUAGUACAAAAUCUUCAAACGCAGGGAUUCUAAAAUUUGCAGUCCAGUUGAGGAAGCUCUGACACUCUAGAUAAAUGCAUUUUAUUUGACUACAGGACCCCCCCAAACGUAUGUAUUUUAGAGCCAAAUUUAGCUUGGAUGACAAAUCAAUAGUCUUGAGCAUGAAAGCUUGUUGAUACGAGAAUAAUAAAGUUCUAAGACCCAGUUGUGACUUGAUACUGCACUUACCACCAGAAGAAUGGAAAUAUCCGUUUAGGGAUCUGUGUGAUGUUGGUUUGAUUCUUCUAAGAUAAAAUUAAACCAAACCAUACCAGUCUUAAAAACAUUUUUUUAUUUCUUUUGGAUACUAUACUCUUUAAGAAUGUCAUACCUCUGUACAGGAAGUUUGACUAUCAGCCCAGCUCAUUGAGAUGAUAGAACCAAACAGUUGACACGGUGGUUCUUUAUUUUGAUAUCAGAGCUUAUUAAAAGUAUAAUUUGUCCAGUCUUAGGCCGAUACAAGGAAAGAGUUGUGUUUUGCUAGUUUUUUUUUUUUAAUACUUCAUUAAAAGAAUUUUUUUAAAGUAACCUUUACACCCAGCAUGGGCUCUAACUCCUAACCACUGAGAUCAAGAGUUGCACACUCUACCCACUGAGUCAGCCAAGCGCCCUGUGUCUUGCUUAAUUUUAGUUUCUCUGUUCUUAGUUUACCUAAUAAAGUGCUCAGUAGGUGUUGAAAGAGAUUAUUCUGUGAACUAAUUGGUAUAAUUGUUUUUCUUUUUAUUAAGAUCACGGUCGAGAUCAAGAUCAAGAUCCAGAUCUCUUUCACGACCAAGAAGCAGCCGAUCAAAGUCCAGAUCUCCAUCUCCAAAAAGAAGUCGUUCCCCAUCAGGAAGUCCGCGAAGAAGUGCAAGUCCUGAAAGAGUGGACUGAAGUUCUCAAGUUCACCUUUUAGGGAAAAGUUAUUUUGUUUACAUUAUUAUAAGGGAUUUGUGGUGUCAAAGUGUAACCUAGGAAGGGUAUUUCAACCAUCUAAUCAAAAUGGAUCUGGAUUAUUACUCUGUAAAUUCACAGCAGUAAGAUAAUAUAAAUUUUUGUUGAAUGUAUUAACAUCCUAUGGUCUGAAAAUGUGGGUUUUUAUUUGGCACAUUUAAAUAAAAUGUUUCUAACUAGAUUUUUGAUUUGUGUU
rnacentral:lncRNA from 1 species